UGCCACUCUUAACGGGGUGGCUUUUCAGAAGUGUAAAAAGCUUCUGGAAUAAGGGCUGGGCAAGACCGGUGCCAGCCGCCGCGGUAACACCGGCAGCUCAAGUGGUAGCCGCUUUUAUUGGGCCUAAAGCGUCCGUAGCCGGUCUGAUAAGUCUCUGGUGAAAUCCCACAGCUUAACUGUGGGAAUUGCUGGAGAUACUAUCAUGACUCGAGGUCGGGAGAGGCUGGAGGUACUCCCAGGGUAGGGGUGAAAUCCUGUAAUCCUGGGAGGACCACCUGUGGCGAAGGCGUCCAGCUGGAACGAACCUGACGGUGAGGGACGAAAGCCAGGGGCGCGAACCGGAUUAGAUACCCGGGUAGUCCUGGCCGUAAACGAUGUGGACUUGGUGUUGAGAUGGCUUCGAGCUGCCCCAGUGCCGAAGGGAAGCUGUUAAGUCCACCGCCUGGGAAGUACGGCCGCA
rnacentral:rRNA from 1 species